rnacentral:rRNA from 1 species
UGAGGAAUAUUGGUCAAUGGACGCAAGUCUGAACCAGCCAAGUAGCGUGCAGGAUGACGGCCCUAUGGGUUGUAAACUGCUUUUAUAUGGGGAUAAAGUGGGGAACGUGUUCCCUUUUGCAGGUACCAUAUGAAUAAGGACCGGCUAAUUCCGUGCCAGCAGCCGCGGUAAUACGUAGGUCCCGAGCGUUGUCCGGAUUUAUUGGGCGUAAAGCGAGCGCAGGCGGUUAGAAAAGUCUGAAGUGAAAGGCAGUGGCUCAACCAUUGUAGGCUUUGGAAACUGUUUAACUUGAGUGCAGAAGGGGAGAGUGGAAUUCCAUGUGUAGCGGUGAAAUGCGUAGAUAUAUGGAGGAACACCGGUGGCGAAAGCGGCUCUCUGGUCUGUAACUGACGCUGAGGCUCGAAAGCGUGGGGAGCGAACAGG